rnacentral:lncRNA from 1 species
CGAAUCACAUGACUUUGAUAAUCAGUAAAUUCCAGCGAAAAAUAUCUUUAUAAGUCAAGAAUUGUCGCAUAAAAAUUAAAUAGUAGUACACGGGAAAUGGCAAAGUUCACGAAGUCUAGUCUGAUUAAUCAUUUUACAAAAAAAAAAAAAAAAAAAGUCCGAGCAAAGAGGGGGCGUACGCCCUCUACGCCCCCCUCUGGAUCCGCC